UCGCUAUCAGAAAUACUAUCAUGCAACUUGUCAAAUAUAGUUCUAUAAUUGUAUUUAAAGAAAAACACUUGUUUGGCAAUAUGGAAAACACUUGUACUAACUUGCAGACUUCAGUGUUCUUAGUUAUUUCAGAAAUGGUUUCACCAUCAAAAAUGUUCAUUUUAUUUCUGUCUUGGUUCACCUCAUCUGAAUCCUAUACAUUCUGAUAUGAUUCAAUAUAUAUCAACCAAAAAGCUUUUGGUAGUAUUUUGUGACUUCAACCCAGUCAUUUGGUUAACUAAAAGUCACUCAAAAGAAUUUUGCAUUUGUCCACAGAUUUGACAAAAGCAAAAUUAAUGUGACUUAAAUAAUCACAUCUUUCAAAACAGUAUUGAAUCAAAAUUCAAAGUAAUUGUUUAAAAUAAACACAUUUCAAUUUUGUGUAGCAUAUUCUUGCAUAAGAUAUUAACUCUAUGCUAUAUAUAUUUAUAUUAUUCUGCAAAGUUCUGCAGAAAACUACUAAGAAAUAUUGUUUGAUAAUUGGCUGGUGAUAUGAAAAUUGAAUAGUGAAUACCAUCAAUUCCGAGAUUAAAAUCACAUGCAUUCGGAAACCUUCCUGCAUGUAGAUAAGACACAACUUGACUCUGACCAGACUAGAUUUUUUUUUUUUUUUUUUUUUUAACUUAAUGCUUAUAAUAAGCAAAAAUAAAAAUAAACAGUGACAUUUUAAAUUUAGGUAUUAAGAAAAUGUCUUGCAUUUGAUUUGAUAUAAUCAUGGAAUUAUCAUAUUAUAUUUUACUUCCAUGUACUAUAAGACUAUUGAAUGUUAUUUGCUAACUAUUAAUCAGUCUUUUAAAUAGAAUGCUUUUCCUGCAUUUUGCUGUUAGAUUAACUGCUUCUACACUGGUGCUAAAAUUUGAGAACCAAUUGAAAAGUAUAUAUAUUAUAUGUAUAUAUUGGUACAUCAUGUGUUACUACCAAAAUACCUCUUCUUUUUUUUUUUUGCAUCUCGUAAAGACUGGCUAAAUAAAAGGUUUAUAUAAAGAGAUGUAUAAUAGAUAGUUCAUUUUUUCAAAUCUUGUGAACUUCUUCAAUUUCCUAGACCAUGUCUAGCAUUUUAAAUAAAUACUGCAUCCACAAUGCUUUAAAUUUUAUUUUUAUUUUAUUUAUUUUUUUUUUUUUUUUUUUUUUUUUUUUUUUUUUUUUUUUUU
rnacentral:lncRNA from 1 species